rnacentral:rRNA from 1 species
CCUACGGGUGGCAGCAGUGGGGGAUAUUGCACAAUGGGGGAAACCCUGAUGCAGCGACGCCGCGUGGGCGAAGAAGUAUUUCGGUAUGUAAAGUUCUAUCAGCAGGGAAGAAGAAAUGAUGGUACCUGAGUAAGAAGCACCGGCUCAAUACGGGCCAGCAGCCGCGGUAAUACGUAGGGUGCAAGCGUUAUCCGGAUUUACUGGGUGUAAAGGGAGCGCAGGCGGCACGGCAUGCCUGAUGUGAAAGCCCGCGGCCCAACCGCGGGAGUGCAUUAGGAACUACCGGGCUGGAGUGCCGGAGAGGUAGGCGGAAUUCCUAGUGUAGCGGUAAAAUGCGUAGAUAUUAGGAGGAACACCAGUGGCGAAGGCGGCCUGCUGGACGGUGACUGACGCUGAGGCUCGAAAGCGUGGGGAGCAAACAGGAUUAGAUACCCUUGUAGUC